AUUGAACGCUGGCGGCAUGCCUUACACAUGCAAGUCGAACGGUAACAGGUUAAGCUGACGAGUGGCGAACGGGUGAGUAAUAUAUCGGAACGUGCCCAGUCGUGGGGGAUAACUGCUCGAAAGAGCAGCUAAUACCGCAUACGACCUGAGGGUGAAAGCGGGGGAUCGCAAGACCCCGCGCGAUUGGAGCGGCCGAUAUCAGAUUAGGUAGUUGGUGGGGUAAAGGCCUACCAAGCCUACGAUCUGUAGCUGGUCUGAGAGGACGACCAGCCACACUGGGACUGAGACACGGCCCAGACUCCUACGGGAGGCAGCAGUGGGGAAUUUUGGACAAUGGACGCAAGUCUGAUCCAGCCAUGCCGCGUGCGGGAAGAAGGCCUUCGGGUUGUAAACCGCUUUUGUCAGGGAAGAAAAGGUUCUGGUUAAUACCUGGGACUCAUGACGGUACCUGAAGAAUAAGCACCGGCUAACUACGUGCCAGCCGCCGCGGUAAUAC
rnacentral:rRNA from 1 species